rnacentral:rRNA from 1 species
AUUGAACGCUGGCGGAAUGCUUUACACAUGCAAGUCGAACGGUAGAGGGGGCAACCCCUUGAGAGUGGCGAACGGGUGAGUAAUAUAUCGGAACGUGCCCAGUCGUGGGGGAUAACGUAGUGAAAAUUACGCUAAUACCGCAUACGAUCUAAGGAUGAAAGCGGGGGAUCGCAAGACCUCGCGCGAUUGGAGCGGCCGAUAUCAGAUUAGGUAGUUGGUGGGGUAAGGGCCCACCAAGCCAACGAUCUGUAGCUGGUCUGAGAGGACGACCAGCCACACUGGAACUGAGACACGGUCCAGACUCCUACGGGAGGCAGCAGUGGGGAAUUUUGGACAAUGGGCGAAAGCCUGAUCCAGCCAUUCCGCGUGCAGGAUGAAGGCCCUCGGGUUGUAAACUGCUUUUGUACAGAACGAAAAGGUUUCUACUAAUACUAGGAGCUCAUGACGGUACUGUAAGAAUAAGCACCGGCUAACUACGUGCCAGCAGCCGCCGUAAGAC